rnacentral:lncRNA from 1 species
CAAGCUCAGGAGGAGCUCGUUGAAGAUCUUGCCCUUUGUGUUGUUUCGUUCUAGUUGAUCAGUAGUGGAGCCCAGUUGGGGUCGAUCGGGGACCUUUGUCGCAUUUGGGGUUCUUCUUUUAUUUUGGUUCCGUAGCCGGACCUUGAUUGUAUCUGGAUGAUGUAAUGCUUUAUUCAUGUAAUUGUGUGAAGUGGCGAUUGUAAGCCAACUAUGUAUCUCUUUCCCUUAUGUAUUACAUGGGUUGUGUGAAGAUUACCUCACUUGCGACAUUGCCUUCAAUGCGGUUAUGCCUCUAAGUCGUGCUUCGACACGUGGGAGAUAUAGCCGCAUCGAGGGCGUUACAAGUUGGGUAUCAGAGCCUUCCCCGACCUUAGGAGCCCCACUGCUUGAUCGUUUUUAGCGGCCGAGUUGUGUCUAGAAAAAUAUUUUGAGUCAUUUAGGAUUAUAUAUAUCGGAGAGUUAGGAAUUCUUUUUACUCCCCAGUCUCUUCAUCGCUCUGGUAAGGCAUCCUGACGUAGAGUUUUGACUCUUCUCUUCUCAAAUUUCACUAAAUUUUUUUUUAGGAUCACGCGGGUAUCUUGGAAUCGUUCCGAUGGUUUUAUGAUGAGAACAUUGUCUUGGUGCCUCCUGUCAGGGGUUUUGUGGAAGUGUCCCGGGGAGUUGAGCUCUGAGGUGUUGUCAUCAUAAUUUUAUCGUUGUAGUUCUGGAAUACCUGAGUUUAGUACGCCGACAUCGAAAAUCUCUUUUAUGCAGUUGUUGGUGAGAUAACCCCGAUAACCCAGUACUGAGGUGAGUACGGGAGUAUCGCCAUAACUUGUAUAACGGAUGCUUUUCGAAGGUUGAGGUAGAUGAUUUCCGAAGGUUUCUUGGUUAUGUGUUGAAGGAUGGAUACAGCUGGAUGUAGGAUUUGCUAGUUUGGGUGAGAUAUUAUGCUUCCCCUGUAUCCCCAACACCUGAUUGCAUAACCGGAAAAUUUCGGGAGUUUCAUAGGUGGGAAUUCAAGUAGCUCUUAGGAUAUCUUUUCGACAGAUGUAUGAUAUGAAAUUGGGGUUCGACGUCUAGUGGUCCGCCUAUUCACGGUCGUUUUUACAGUGGUCUCGUUGUGUCUUAAAGAGUCCUUGGCUAUGCCGACUCGGGGACGCUUCGUAUGUCAUGUGCACUGCCUUGUACAUGAUGGUGCUGUACGAUCGAGCCCGUGUAGGCCCCACCACGAAAACUUCGGACGAAAUCUCUAUCAUAUGUUUGUUCUGGCUUAUUUUGCAAGCCAAUCCUUUGUUUUGUUUUGAGUUGUGGUAUUCGAGUUGCUUCGAAGUCAAAUGUUGAUUCCAUACCUUUUCCAAAUGGUGUUCUCAUAUUCCUAUGUGAAUACUAAUCCUUCUUGAUCAUCGAGUCUGUCUUGUCAAUCCUUUUUUUUAACCAGUGUGUCUCUCUUCAAGUGGAUCCGAUCAUUCUCCCCAUCCGCAAGAUCAAUUCUAAGUUUUUCUCAACGGUGUUCAUUCCAACUGCCCCAAGUUGCCUUUGUUUUUCCCGCCCUCCCACCCUUUUUGUUCAAGGACUCAGAUAUCUUAAUCAUGUAUCCUUUUAUUGAUGGGAAGUCUCUCCAUUCUUUUCCGUCAAUAUUCUUAUCCGGUGAUUCUCACGUAUAUUCUAACGGAGCUUCAAGUUCAUCACUCUUCACUCGUUUUCUUCUCCGGUGGAUUUAAUUCAAGCUUUGGUAUUAAGCAUACUCCUUUUCUUUUUUUUCCAAUGUUUUUCUUAUGCCGGUGCGCCUCUUAAUCAUCCAUCUCUCGCUAUUAAAUUGUUCCGGAGUGCUCAAGAUAUCUCGAAUAUUCGUGUUUCCACUCUGCAUUCGUUCAAGCUCUUUCGAGAUUGGUAUCUCAUUCAAGUCAUUUAAUUCAACCGGUGCAACAUCUCUUUUAAAUCUUUUCAACGGUGUUUUUUUGAGUGGGCCCUAACCCACAGGUCUUUUCCCAGGAUCUUACCUGACUCUUCUAUUUUCCCAGAGCUAUCCUAAAUUCUUCUCCAAGUUUGACGUAAGAAUGAGUUAUCAUUAGUCAAAUGCUUUUCUCCAAGAUCUUUCAAAUUCUAUUCAUAGUUGGCUCAACCUCUUCGCUUUUGAUUCUUCCGGUGUGCCUCAAUAAUUCUUGGUGGUGUUUCUCGUUGUCAUUCUCAUCAUUUGAAGACCGAAGAAGAGUUUCUCUUUAAUCUUGCUCUAUUCUCUUCAAGAUUCUUGGUGCUAACUUGAUGCCAUCCUCUCAUAGUUGUUUUCGAUUGUCAGAAUUCUUUUCACUCAUCCGGAGUAAUUCAGAGUAUUUUUUCUGUCAGAUUAUCCGGAGCCCAUCGUCUAAGAUUGACUCAGUCCAGCUUUCAGCUCGCAUACUCUAAAUCAUACUGGUGCUUCGUUCAAGUGAUCUUUAAUCGGCUCGUGAUCUCGUCGUUCUCAUGUAUCUAAAUCCUCUCAAGCAUCUUCGUGUAUUUGCUAAUUCUUCCCGGUGUCUUCCUUAUCUUUUCUUUGUUCAUUUUUAAUUCUUACCGUGGUUCUUUCAAGAUCUCUCUUCCUUGUUCAUCAUAUCAAUUCAUUUGUUGUUCCAAUCCUACCGGUGGUUCGUUCAAGAGUUUUCUUCCUUCGUGUAUCAUAUCUAUGCAUUCGUACUUUCUAAAUUCUACCGGUGGAUCGUUGAAGACUUUCUCAAGUUUACGCCAUAUCUCUCUUAAUCCUUUCUACAAGAAUAAGUAGUAUGCCAAAUCCGUUGCUUGUCAUCAAUUUAAAUUGGUGAAGGAUACGCAUAACAUAAUUCUUAUUCUGGUUUCAUCCAAGUGAUUAAUCCUUUCCUUCAGAGUUUGUCCAGGAGGAAUAAAUUCUUGGCUUCUUGUUGUUCAUCUUUCUUCCGGAGUUCUAAGUUUUCCGCAUUAUCUCGUCGCGAAGCUCCAUCUAAAUCAUCGCAAGGCUUCACCUUGUGUUUUCAACUUCUCUUUCUUUUUUAUCAUCCUUUUAUUACCGGAGUUCUUCAUGGAGGCUCUACAUGAUGGUUCAUCAAGGAUUUAUAUUUCUUCUUGAAGUGUUCAUCGAGAUUCUUUUCUAAGAAACUCAAGCAUUCUUCAUCUUGCUAUCCGGAGUGCAAUUUCUUUCUACCGUAUCUUUGGAGGUGGUAUUAUGUCCUUCUUGAUAAUUCCCCUUCGUUGCUUCGUGAUUCACAAGUUUUCAAGAGUGACUUAUUUAAAUCCAUCUUUUUCUCUUUGUUCAAGAGAUCUUUUCAACCGUCAAUCUCUUCAUUGGAGUUAUCUUGGUAUAGAUUUCACCUAAAGCCUUCCCUAAGGAAUGUUGCUAUUUGGUGCUUAUUAAUGACCCAAGUUAUCUCUUUUCCAUCUUGAUGGAACAAGUUUUCAUCUCUUCGUUAAUCUCAAGCAAGUAAUUGUUCCGUUAGUGGCCGGUUGUCACCUCAUAAUGUUGAGAUGUUUCCAUAAGCCCAUAUCAAGAUUAUUCUUUUCGUUGUUGGUUUUCAACAACUCCAUUCUAGCAUUUGUUGUAUCCGUGAUCUCUCAAGAUCUUGUUUCCCUUCGUUCCGGAGUCAUUGUGAUGUUGCUCUUUUCAACCCAUCAUCUCGUUUGUCAAAGAUCAUGUUCUUUUCGUGCUUAUCCAUUUAACCAGAGUGUCGUGUCCUCUGCUCAAGUUCUUUUCAUCUUAUCUGGUCUUGUAUCACUUUUCAACCGGAGUGCUGCCCGAAUUUGGUCUUCCUUGAUCCCCUUCCUUAACCGGAGUGGUUCCAAUAUAUAUCUUCCCUUCAACCUCAAGGUUUCGCAAUGCUCUUUGUCCCUAGUUUCUAACGGAGUGUUUUCGACUUUGUUCUCCUUCGUUCUAUUCUUUUCUCGAAUUAGUUCAACCUCGCAAGGUUCUUUGGUUUCACUCGUUCGUCAAAGGAGCAACUUAGUUUUACCUAUCCUCUCUUUCUCUUCCGUUGUCCCUCCGGUGCCAUUCUAGAUCUCGGGACGAGAUCCUCUCAUAGUGGUGGAGUGUUGUAACGCCCCGAGACCGAUGUGCCAGGUGUCGUUCAGUUAGUCGCCGUCGUUGCCAUGUCAUUUGCUUGCGUGUUGCAUUUUAUCAUGUCAUCAUGCGCAUUUCAUUUGCAUACAUGUUCGUCUCAUGCAUCCGAGUUUUUUCCCCGUUGUCCGUUUUGCAAUCCGGCGUUCCGUUCUCCUCCGGUGGUCAUUUCUACCUUUCUUUCUUGUGUGGGGAUUAAACAUUUCUGGAUUGGACCGAGACUUGUCAAGCGGCCUUGGUUUACUACCGGUAGACCGCCUGUCAAGUUUCGUACCAUUUGGACUUCGUUUGAUACUCCAACGGUUAACCGAGGGACCGAAAAGGCCUCGUGUGUGUUGCAGCCCAACACCCCCCAAAUUUGGCCCAAAACCCACCUAACUCUGCUCCAUCAUCUCGGUCGUUCGAUCACGAUCGCGUGGUCGAAAACCGCACCUCAUUUGGAGCUUCCUAGCUCCCUCUACCUAUAAAAGAGCACCCCUCCCCGAAAUUUCGGAUCAUUUCGCAGUCUAAACCCUAGAUCCACUCCUCCCCGCGCCACCGGACGCGUCCGCGCUGCACCAGACAUGUCCGCCCCCGCGCGCCACCUCACUCCAGCCAAUGGGGGCGAGCCACGUCAGCUCCGCCGCCCCUCUCCUCCACUCACCGCGCGCCACGUCAACGCCCAGCCUCCCCACUUCGCCGCUGGGCCCGGAGAGCCCGCAACCGGCCCCCGCGGCCCAUCCAUCGCCGCCGCCCGAACCCACGGGGAGACCAGAUCCGCACCGCCCGGUCCUCCCUUGCACCGCCGCACGCCGUCUCGACGCCGGCCGCCCGCCGACGCCGCUCGCCGCCUCGCGCCCUGCCCGGCCCCGGCCACCGUUGAGCUCGCCGGAUGCCGCCCCGUCGCCCUUCGCUUCCCACCGUCGUCCCGGAGCGCAGCGGCCUCCAUCCGACCCCAGGGAGGAGCCCCGGUGCCGCCCGCCCCAAGAUCCAGCGCCGCCGCCUCGGUUCCUGCCGUCCCCGUCGCCGGAGUUCCCGGUGCGCCGUCGCCGCCAUGGAUCGGGAACCAGAGCCCCGAUCUGCUCCCUCCGUUGACCGCGCCCGCGUGGGCCGGCCCAAUCAUCCUCGCCGGCCCAACGCAGCCCCCGCCUUCGGCCCAGCUCCCCGCGGUCCAGCGCGAGCGCCCCAAGGCCCAGCUCCAGCCGGCCUCGCCUUGGCCUGCCUCCUCCUCCAGCCGGGCCGAAGCCCACUGGGUGAGCCGCCACCCGCCCCACCUUGUUUUUUUUCCAUUCCUCUGGUUGGGCUGCCCAGUGCUCCAGUUCCUGUUUCGGCCCGCCUCGUUUUUUUUCCGUCCUGGGAAUUUGUCUAUUAUCCUCAGUUUGUCAGUUUUACAGUUUAGACCCUCAUGUUCAUGCAUUUAAUAACUCACAAACCGUGCGUUGGAUUAAAAUGUUUUAUAUAUGAAACUUGCUCAAAAUUUUGUGUAGAUUAAUAAUAUCCAACUUUCAUCCAUAUUUAAAAUGUUAAAAAUGCUGUUUGCAUUAAUUUGCUCCUAUGCCAUGCUAAAAUGCUUUAUUUCAUAACUAAAUAACCGUAACUCCAAUUUUAAUAAACUUUAUAUGUAAAUGGGGUAGAAUUUUGCCUAGUUUAUCAUGGUGGCCUUACUUUGCAUGUUUAACAACUCUAAAACAUUGUUUAGGGCAGAACAGUACCAAACCUAAUUUAUGCUCAUAAGGAGUUUCCAGAAUUGUUGUUCGUUGCUUCCGGCCUCAUUUAAACUUGCCUAGAUAGGUAGUUUUGUUGUGCUUCACCCUCUUGCCAUGUUAACCAACAUUUAAUAUUGUUGAGUACAUAAACGAGAUCAAACUAAAUAACGUGUCGUGGUGCUUCGUCAAUAUGCAACUCGUUGCAUAUUGAUCUCCACUUAAUUUGUAGAACUGCUUGUGCACUUUGCCAUGCCAUGCUUCAUUAAAACGGACAUGCAUCAUACUCGUUUGUGCAUCGUGCCAUGUUGUUGUGUUGGUUAUUUACUAUGUUGUGUGCUUCUUUUCCGGUGAUUGCUUCUUCGGGUUAGUUCCGAUAACGUCGCGUUUGUGAGGAUCUGUUCAACUACGUCCGUUUGUCUUCUUCAUGGACUCGUUCUUCUUCCUUGCGGGAUUUCAGGCAAGAUGAUCAUACCCUCGAAAUCACUACUAUCUUUGCUAUGCUAGUUUGCUCGCUCUUUUGCCAUGCCAAUGCUACGAUGCCUACCACUUGCUUGUCAGCCACCCAAAUUGCCAUGUUCAACCUCUAACCCACCCUGUCCUAGCAAACCGUUGAUUGGCUAUGUUACCGCUUUGCUCAGCCCCUCUUAUAGUGUUGUUAGUUGCAGGUGAAGAUUGAAGUUUGUUCCUUGUUGGAACAUGGAGUUCGUUCCUUGUUGGAAUAUUGUUUACUUGUUGGGAUAUCACAAUAUAUCUUACUUAAUUAAUGCAUCUAUAUACUUGGUAAAGGGUGGAAGGCUCGGCCUUAUGCCUGGUGUUUUGUUCCACUCUUGCCGCCCUAGUUUCCGUCAUAUUGGUGUUAUGUUCCCGGAUUUUGCGUCCCUUACGCGGUUGGGCUAUAAUGGGAACCCCUUGACAGUUCGCCUUAAGUAAAGCUUCUCCAGCAAUGCCCAACAUUGGUUUUACCAUUUGCCACCUAGCCUUUUCUUUCCCUUGGGUUCUGCAGACUCAAGGGUCAUCAUUAUUUUACCCCCCGGGCCAGUGCUCCUCUGAGUGUUGGUCCACCUGUCAGCUACCGGUGGCUACCAGGGGCAACUCUGGGCUGGCCUACCCGUACCUAAGACAAUCUGAGUGUGCCCUGAGAAAGAGAUAUGUGCAGCUCCUAUCGGGAUUUGUCGGCACAUUCGGGCGGUGUUGCUGGUUUAGUUUUACCCUGUCGAAAUGUCUUGUUGUACCGGGAUACCGAGUCUGAUCGGAAUGUCUCGGGUGGAGGUCUAUUCCUUCGUUGACCGUGAGAGCUUGUCAUGGGCUAAGUUGGGACUCCCCUGCAGGGAUUGAACUUUCGAAAGCCGUGCCCGCGGUUAUGGGCAGAUGGGAAUUUGUUAACGUCCGGUUGUAGAAAACCCGAAGUUGACCUUAGUUAAAAUACAUCAACCGUGCGUGUAACCGUGAUGGUCUCUUUCCGGCGGAGUCCGGGAAGUGAACACGGUGUUGGAGUUAUGCUUGACGUAGGUAGUCCAGGAUCACUUCUUGAUCAUACUUUUAUCGACCGUGCUUUGCCUUCUCUUCUCGCUCUCAUUUGCGUAUGUUAGCCACCAUAUAUGCUAGUCGCUUGCUGCAGCUCCACCUCAUUACUCCAUCCUUCCUAUAAGCUUAAAUAGUCUUGAUCUCGCGGGUGUGAGAUUGCUGAGUCCUCGUGACUCACAGAUACUUCCAAAACCAGUUUGCAGGUGCCGAUGAGUUUGUGCAGUUGACGCAACCAAGCUCAGGAGGAGCUCGUUGAAGAUCUUGCCCUUUGUGUUGUUUCGUUCUAGUUGAUCAGUAGUGGAGCCCAGUUGGGGUCGAUCGGGGACCUUUGUCGCAUUUGGGGUUCUUCUUUUAUUUUGGUUCCGUAGUCGGACCUUGAUUGUAUCUGGAUGAUGUAAUGCUUUAUUCAUGUAAUUGUGUAAAGUGGCGAUUGUAAGCCAACUAUGUAUCUCUUUCCCUUAUGUAUUACAUGGGUUGUGUGAAGAUUACCUCACUUGCGACAUUGCCUUCAAUGCGGUUAUGCCUCUAAGUUGUGCUUCGACACGUGGGAGAUAUAGCCGCAUCGAGGGCGUUACAAAAGACUACAGGAAUGAAUAGAGUUGAGUAAGAGAUAGCAACUCACCCAGUUAGGGGGAUUGUACAUGGAAAAUCCAUCCUGUGGCUUAAUGCGGAUGAACUCCUCUUCUUCUCCUUUGUAUAAAUCAGACAGUAUUUUCGCCAGAGCGGUGGCGGAGUCCAGACCUUUCCGACUGCAGCGGGUGGCAUCAUCUUCUCCGUUGAAGUGCCACAUGGGACGCCCUCGAUACUGGAGUGGCCGCACCCCCCGCAUUAUGCAUAUUGACAUAACCUUGAUUAUUGUCAAUCCGGAUUGGGUAAGCGUUUUUAUCCUGCCCAUCAAUUGAAGGACCUCUCUGCUAUCUUCCUCCUUGGGGCUCCGAGGAUGCCAGCUAUGGUGUUUCUUCAACGGGUCAUUUGUGAACUCAGGAAGACUCAUUCGGAUAGGGUCAGGAAGGGAGACGUCCUCUAUAUAAAACCACUCGGAAGGCCAAUCUUCGGAUGUCUUCUUCGGAGUGCCGGACAGGUAUUCGGUCUCGGCGAUGCGCCAUAUUUCGGCUCCGCCCACUUGGAAUAUUGAUCCCUCUUGAUUGCGAGGGACGAGGCAGAACAACCUCUUCCAUAGCUCGAAAUGAGCUUCGCAACCCAGAAAUAACCCGCAAAGGGCGACAUAACCUGCGAUGUGCAGGAUGGAGGCAGGGGUGAAAUUGUGCAGCUGGAGGCCAUAGUACUCCAGGAGCCCGCGAAGGAACGGAUGGAUUGGAAAUCCGAUGCCCCUCAGCAAGUAAGGGACAAGGCACACUCGCUCCCCCCUGGAUGGGUUGGGAAAACUCUCUGCUUGCUCCCCGCCAUCAAAAGUGGCUAAUCCGGCUCGAACGGGGACAAGAUAUGCAGGUGGAAGAAACCCCUGGGUAUGCAACUUCACCAAUUGGCCAUGGGAUAUGGUACACUUCUCCCAAUCACCUGGCUUGGCGCUAUAAGGACGAGAUGAAGAGCUUUGACGACCGGCCAUGAUGGGAUGGUUUUUUCGGGCGCACUCUAAUGAAUCCUCGCUUGGGGAAGAUGGUGUGAUUUGGAUCUGAGGAUCCCCGUCUCUUUAAUAGACGAUUUAUUUACAUGGUUAGGGUGGCAAGUGUAAAAAUGCUCCGGCUCCUCGCAUUCACUCGACACAUGGAGGCUGACACUAUUAAGGUACAGAAGACGAUGAUUGCAACAUUAAAUGGGAAGUUGGACACUGCUCGUUACAACAGGUACUCUAGAGAAUUCGGAGAAGGAACCCGCCUUGCAAUGCCGAAGACAAUCUGCGCGCCGGACUCAUCGUCAUUGAAGCCUGGUUCGGGGGCUACUGAGGGAGUCCUGGAUUAGAGGGUCCUCGGACAGCCGGACUAGAUGCUUAUGCCGGACUGUUGGACUAUGAAGAUACAAGAUUGAAGACUUCAUCCCGUGUUCGGGUGGGACUCUCCUUUGCGUGGAAGGCAAUCUUGGUGAUUCGCAUAUGUAGAUUCCCUUCUAUGUAACUGACUCUGUGUAACCCUAGCCCCCUCCGAUGUCUAUAUAAAUCGGAGGGUUUAGUCCGUAGGAUGACAACAAUCAUAAUCAUAGGCUAGCUUCUAGGGUUUAGCCUCUACGAUCUCGUGGUAGAUCAACUCUUGUAAUACUCAUAUCAUCAAGAUCAAUCAAGCAGGAGGUAGGGUAUUACCUCCAUAGAGAGGGCCCGAACCUGGGUAAACAUCGUGUCCCCCGCCUCCUGUUACCAUUAGUCUUAGACGUACAGUUCGGGACCCCCUACCUGAGAUCCAUCGGUUUUGACACCGACACUUACCCAGUCUGCCAGACUAUAGCCGGAGCAACCCUUCGGGAUACUUAAUUGAGCAAAGUCUUCCCCCUCGCCUUUAAAUAGGUCAACUAGUAUUUUGGCCAUAGCUGCCUGGUUGUCCGGCCCUAGUCGCUUGUAGUGGGUUGCAUCGCUGGUCCUGUUGUAGCACCACAGAGGAUCUACCCACCGGGCUAUGGCGACGGCCAUCACUUCGAUCAUGGUCAGUUUACCAUGGGCCAACAGCCAAAUUUUGGUGGCCGAAAGGUGCACCUCCAUGAUGUCUAAUUGGGAAGGGCUCUUGGGUCGCUAGUUGAAUCGCUUCUUUAAUGGGGCACUAGAGUAUUUGGGCAGCCCCCUCCGGACUGGGUCAAAGAGGGGAACGUCUUCAAUAUAAAACCACUCUGAGAUCCAUUCCUCGGAAUCUUUUCAUGGGGUCCCGAUGGGAUACCCUGUCCCGGCUAUGCGCCAUACCUCUUCUCCACCUAGUUAAAAUAUUGACCCUUCACUAGUUCGAGGGACAAGGCAGAAGUAUUUUCUCCACAAAUCAAAGUGGGCUUCGCAGCUCAGGAAUAUCUCGCAGAGGGCCACAAACCUAGAAAUAUGCAGUAUGGACCCCGGGGUGAGGUUGUAAAGAUGGAUCCCAUAAAAUUCUAAUAAACCCCAUAAGAAGGGUGAAUGGGAAAGCCUAGGCCUCGUAGCAGGAAAGGCAUGAAACAUACUCUCUCUUCCUUGCUUGGAGCAGGGAAGUUCUCGGCGAAUGCUGGGCCAUCCAUGAAGAUCAAUCCAGCACAGAUGGAGACAAGAUCCGUUGCAGGGAGAUAUCCUUGCGUCUGUAGAUUACACAGUUGAAGGCGUGAGACGAAGCAGCUCACCUAGUCUCUUGGAACGGGACUGUGAGGUCGUGAAGAAGAUCCUGGGGCAUCGGCCAUGGUGCCUAAAAUUUCUCAAGCAUUGGCUUCUAGGGAAGGACGGGUCAGUCGUCCCCCGCAUUUUUGGAUCUAUAAAUAGGCGUUUCGUCCUAAAGUUGAAAGGACGGCUCUACAAAAUGGGGACAUUGGGCCGUUCGCCUUCUAAAAAGGUGCACAAUGGUCAAAGUUUGCCCUCGCCCGAGGAAAGCAUUAACUCCGAUGGCCCUGAUACGUCCAUUUUGCAUCAUGCUUUUAUAUCAAUAUUUAUUGCAUUAUGGGCUGUUAUUACACGUUACACAAUACUUAUGCCUAUUCUCUCUUAUUUUACAAGGUUUACAUGAAGAGGGAGAAUGCCGGCAGCUGGGAUUCUGGGCUGGAAAAGGAGCAAAUAUUAGAGACCUAUUCUGCACAACUCCAAAAGUCCUGAAACUCCAUGAAAGUUAUUUUUGGAAUUAAUAAAAAAUAUUUGGCGAAGAAAGUACCACAGGGGGCCCACACCCUGGCCAUGAGGGUGGGGGGCGCGCCCCCUGCCUCGUGGGCCCCCUGGCAGGCCUCCGGUGACCAUCUUCUGCUAUAUGAAGUCUUUUACCCUGGAAAAAAACCAUAAGCAAGUUUUCAGGAUGAAACACCACCGCCACAAGGCGGAACCUUGGCGGAACCAAUCUAGGGCUCCAGCGGAGCUGUUCUGCCGGGGAAACUUCCCUCUGGGAGGGGGAAAUCAUCACCAUCGUCAUCACCAUCGAUCCUCUCAUCGAGAGGGAGUCAAUCUCCAUCAACAUAUUCACCAGCACCAUCUCCUCUCAAACCCUAGUUCAUCUUUUGUAUCCAAUCUUUGUCCCAAAACCUCAGAUUGGUACCUGUGGGUCACUAGUAGUGUUGAUUACUCCUUGUAGUUGAUGCUAGUUGGUUUAUUCGGUGGAAGAUCAUAUGUUCAGAUCCUUAAUGCAUAUUAAUACCCCUCUGAUUAUGAACAUGAAUAUGAUUUGUGAGUAGCUACGUUUGUUCCUGAAGACAUGGGAGAAGUCUUGCUAUAAGUAGUCAUGUGAAUUUGGUAUUCGUUUGAUAUUUUAAUGAGAUGUAUGUUGUCUCUCCUCUAGUGUUGUUAUGUGAACGUCGACUACAUGAAACUUCACUAUUAUUUGGGCCUAGAGGAAGGCAUUGGGAAGUAAUAAGUAGAUGAUGGGUUGCUAGAGUGACAGAAGCUUAAACCCUAGUUUAUGCGUUGCUUUGUAAGGGGCUGAUUUGGAUCCACAUGUUUCAUGCUAUGGUUAGGUUUACCUUAAUACUUCUUUUGUAGUUGCGGAUGCUUGCAAUAGGGGUUAAUCAUAAGUGGGAUGCUUGUCCAAGAAAGGGCAGUACCCAAGCACCGGUCCACCCACAUAUCAAAUUAUCAAAGUAACGAACGCGAAUCAUAUGAGCGUGAUGAGAACUAGCUUGACGAUAAUUCCCAUGUGUCCCCGGGAGCGCUUUUCUCCAUAUAAGAAUUUGUCCAGGCUUGUCCUUUGAUACAAAAAGGAUUGGGCCACCUUGCUGCACUUGAUUUACUUUUGUUACUUGUUACGUGUUACGAAUUACCUUAUCACAAAACUAUCUGUUACCGAUAAUUUUAGUGCCUGCAGAGAAUACCUUACUGAAAACCGUUUGUAAUUUCCUUCUGCUCCUCGUUGGGUUUGACACUCUUACUUAUCGAAAGGACUAUGAUAGACGCCCUACACUUGUGGGUCAUCUAGACUCUUUUCUGGCACCGUUGCUGGGGAGUGAAGCGCCUUUGGUAAGUGGAACUUGGUAAAGAAAAAUUUAUAUAGUGUGCUGAAAUUUACUGUCACUUGUUACUAUGGAACAUAAUCCUUUGAGGGGCUUGUUCGGGGCAUCUUCACCCCGACCAGUAGAGCAAAGAGUUGCUCCUCAACCUACUGAACCUACCGAAAAUGUUUACUUUGAAAUUCCUUCGGGUAUGAUAUAGAAACUGCUAGCUAAUCCCUUUACAGGAGAUGGAACAUUGCAUCUCGAUUUACACCUAAUAUAUGUGGAUGAAGUUUGUGGAUUAUUUAAGCUUGCAGGUAUGCCCAGCGAUGUUAUCAAGAAGAAGGUCUUCCCUUUAUCUUUGAAGGGAGAGGCAUUGACAUGGUUUAGGCUAUGUGAUGAUAUGGGAUCAUGGAACUACAACCGAUUGAAAUUGGAAUUUCAUCAGAACUUUUAUCCUAUGCAUCUUGUUCAUCGUGAUCGUAAUUAUAUAUAUAAUUUUUGGCCUCGCGAAGGAGAAAGCAUCGCUCAAGCUUGGGGGAGGCUUAAGUAGAUGUUAUAUUCAUGCCCCAAUCAUGAGCUCUCAAGAGAAAUGAUUAUUCAAAAUUUUUAUGCUCGUCUUUCUCUCAACAAUCGCUCCAUGCUCGAUACUUCUUGUACUGGUUCUUUUAUGAUGAAGACUAUUGAAUUCAGAUGGGAUUUAUUGGAAAGAAUUAAAUGCAAGUCUGAAGAUUGGGAUCUUGACGAAGGUAAGGAGUCAGGUAUGACACCUAAGUUUGAUUGUGUUAAAACUUUUAUGGAUACUGAUGCUUUUCGUGAAUUUAGCACUAAAUAUGGACUUGACUCUGAGAUAGUAGCUUCUUUCUGUGAAUCAUUUGCUACUCAUGUUGACCUCCCUAAGGAGAAGUGGUUUAAAUAUAAUCCUCCCACUGAAGUAAAAAUAGUUGCACCUAUUAAAGUUGAAGAAAAGACUAUCACUUAUAAUGAUCCUAUUGUUCCUACUACCUAUAUUGAGAAACCCCCUUUCCCUGUUAGGAUAAAGGAUCAUGCUAAAGCUUCAACUAUGGUUCGUAAGAGUAAUACUAAAACACCUACACCACCUGAGCAAAUUAAAGUUGAACCUAGUAUUUCUAUGGUUAAAGAUCUCUUGGCUGAUAAUAUUGAUGGGCAUGUUAUUUACUUCUGUGAUGAAGCUGCUAGAAUUGCUAGACCUGAUACUAAGAAUAAACAUAGGCUUGUUGUGGGCAUGCCUGUUAUUUCUGUUAAAAUAGGAGAUCAUUGUUAUCAUGGCUUGUGUGAUACGGGUGCUAGUGCUAGUGCAAUACCGCAUUCCUUAUACAAAGAAAUUAUGCAUGAUAUUGCACCUGCUGAAAUAGAAGAGAUUGAUGUUACAAUUAAGCUUGCUAAUAGAGAUACUAUUUCACCAGUUGGGAUUGUUAGAGAUGUUGAAGUAUUGUGUGGGAAAGUGUAGGACCUUGAAGUAUGUCUAGAGGGGGGGUGAUUAGACUACUUAACCAAUUAAAAACUUAACCUUUUCCCAAUUUUAGAGUUUGGCAGAUUUUAGCUAUCUUAGGACAAGUCAAGCAAUCAUCACGCAAUUCAAGCAAGCAUGCAAAGAGUAUAUAGGCAGCGGAAAUUAAAGCAUGCAACUUGCAAGAAAGUAAAGGGAAGGGUUUGGAGGAUUCAAACGCAAUUGGAGACACAGAUGGUUUUGGCGUGGUUUCGAUAGGUGGUGCUAUCGUACAUCCACGUUGAUGGAGACUUCAACCCACGAAGGGUAACGGUUGCGUGAGUCCACGGAGGGCUCCACCCACGAAGGGUCCACGAAGAAGCAACCUUGUCUAUCCCACCAUGGCUGUCACCCACGAAGGACUUGCCUCACUAGCGGUAGAUCUUCACGAAGUAGGCGAUCUCCUUGCCCUUACAAACUCCUUGGUUCAACUCAACAAUCUUGUCGGAGGCUCCCAAGUGACACCUAGCCAAUCUAGGAGACACCACUCUCCAAGAAGUAACAAAUGGUGCGUUGAUGAUGAACUCCUUGCUCUUGUGCUUCAAAUGAUAGUCUCCCCAACACUCAACUCUCUCAUAGGUUUUGGAUUUGGUGGAAAGAAGAUUUGAGUGGAAAGCAACUUGGGGAAGGCUAGAGAUCAAGAUUCAUAUGGUAGGAAUGGAAUAUCUUGGCCUCAACACAUGAGUAGGUGGUUCUCUCUCAGAAAUGGUAAGUUGGAAGUGUAGGUUUAGUCUGAUGGCUCUCUCCACGAAUGAAGAGGAGGUGGAGGGGUAUAUAUAGCCUCCACACAAAAUCUAACCGUUACACACAAUUUACCAAACUCGGUGGGACCGAUUCAACAGACUUGGUCAGACCGAUUUAGCAAACCUAGUGACCGUUAGGAUUUUCGGUGGGACCGACAUGCAACUCGGUGAGACCGAUUUUGGUAAUAAGCUUUCCAGAGAGUUGGUCAGGUAAACUUGGUGGGACCGAUUUGCUCUUUUCGGUGAGACCGAAAUGUUACAAAAGGGAAACAGAGAGUUUACAUUGCAAUCUCGGUGGGACCGAUCGCUCACUUCGGUUAGACCGAAAUGUUACGAAGGGAAACAGAGAGAUUACAAUCCCAUCUCGGUGAGACCGAGAUCCCUAUCGGUAAAACCGAUUUGCCUAGGGUUUAUGGCAGUGGCUAUGACAUUUGAAAUCGGUGGCGCCGGAUAGAAAGAAUCGGUGUGACCAAUUUUGGAUUUAGGUUUAGGUCAUUUGUGGAUGUGAGAAAGUAGCUGAGGGUUUUGGAGCAUAUCACUAAGCACAUGAAGCAAGAGGCUCAUUAAGCAACACCUCAUCCCUCCUUGAUAGUAUUGGCUUUUCCUAUAGACUAAAUGUGAUCUUGGAUCACUAAAAUAUAGAAUGAAGAGUCUUGAGCCUUUGAGCUUGAGCCAAUCCUUUGUCCUUAGUAUUUUGAGGGAUCCACUUUCAUCAUCCAUGCCAUGCCAUUCAUUGAGCUUUCCUGAAAUAAUAGUCUUGGAAUAGCAUUAGCUCAAUGAGCUAUAUGUUGUUAUGAAUCACCAAAACCACCUAGGGAUAGUUGCACUUUCAAUCUCCCCCUUUUUGGUAAUUGAUGACAACAUAUAGAUCAAAGCUUCGACAAAUGAUAAUAAGAUUUAAAACAUCGUCGCUUUGAGAAGUAUGUGAUAAGCAAGAGCUCCCCCUAAAUUUGUGCAUAGUUUAAGAUUUGCUUUGGACUGCAAAUGUACAAGGAAUUAGGCUCAUGGGUUACUCUUCCAUGUCACAUACAUCUUGGUGGAGCGCUCAAAAUGAUAAAGAUUGAAUACAUGCACUCAUCACCAAGCAAAGUGAAUGAUCACAUAGGAUAGAUAAGAUAAUAUCAUCAAACAUGCAUAAGUGUAGCUUAUGAUCAAACACAUGAUCAUCAAUGUCUCACAAAAACAGCAUAGUAUCUCAAGCAAUCAAAAGGAAACAAAGUUUAACCACCAAAUCAAAGCAAGAGAGAAAAAAGAACAUCACUCUCUCUCUCUCGAAGCCUAUGAUCUAUACAUUUUUCUCCCCCUUUGGCAACAAGUUACCAAAAAGUUCAUAGAAAAUGCAUAGUGCUAGAUCGACUCUCAGGCUUGAUCUUCAGGUGGUGGUGUCCGGAUAACUCCAAGAACGAAGGCUUCAGUUGAAGUAGAUGGAGCUGGAGUUGAUGCUGGAGCUGGUUGCACUAGAGCUGUAGGAGCUGUAGCUGGUGCAGAUGAUGUGGCUCUAGUGUCUGGCACAGGCACUGUAGCUGACCUCUGAGCUCUAGGCACUCUGGAAAAAACAUUAGUGGUAGUCUUGCCCUGCCUUUCCUGCAUGUCAUCCUGUAGCUGCUCCACAACAGACUGAAUCUCAGUUACUUUGACAUCUAGAUCAUGGAAUUUGAGUUCCAUGAUUCUUUCCAAGCUCUCCUGAUUUUGAGUGAGGGUGGCCAAUCCCUUCUCAAUCCUCAGUGUUGAUGCUAUUAAGUAACCAAGCUGCUCCUGCUUGUUCUUCAAGAAAUACUCAGAUGCCUCCUCUUGAGUUGGCAUCCUGGUAGCCUUCUCCUUCCUUGCCUUCUCCUUCUUCUCUUGAGCUUGAACUGAUGAUGGAUCAUUCUCAUUCAUGACAACCUGAUUGUCCUCAAAGUCUGGAUAGAGGGGAAAAUGUCCCUUAUCCAAUUGAUAUUUGCCUGUGCCCAUCUUUGAGUUAAUCAACUCCUGAAUCUGAGGGCAUAUGCACAGCUCCUCUUCUGAUCUGCUGCAGUCCUCUUAAUGGUUUCAAUCAUAAGGCUCAUGACCUUAAAUUUCUGUGGCACAUCAAACAAAUGCAACAUGUUGAUUGCAUGCCCUCUAAUCAUGUUGUGGUCACCAGACUUAGGCAACAGAGUGUGCCUUAGAGCAUCUCCAACAGCUGCGCUAAGCGCCGCGCGCAAAAAUCCUAUUUGCCGCAUGCGCUUCGGCUGGUUUAGCGUGGCCGUCAGCGCUAGCUCCAGCAGCCGCGCUAUAAUGCAGCGCGCGCGCCGCUCCAGCAGAGCGCAAAAAUACAGCACGCGCGCCGCACAAACCACAUAUACAUUUAAAAGAAGAAGAGCAAAAAUGAUCAAACAAACAAAAUAAAUCAACAAUAAAUAGUUCAAUUUCGUUAUCAUUACAACUCAAACAAAUAGUUUAUCGUUCAGUACAACAAAUAAUGCAAUAAACACAACAAAUAGUUCAUGAACAAUACAAUGUCGAAUGCAGAAAUCAUGAUGCUCUUUGUCGUCCAUACCAUGCCCACCACUCUUCAAUCAGAUCAUUCUGAAGUUCAUUGUGCGUUGUGGGACGCCGAAUGGCAUGAUAGGAGGCAAUAAAACGGGCUACCCUUUCAGCCCUCCGUCGCACUCGCACGGGAUGUCCCAAGAGUUCAUACUGUGAGUAGUCUAAAUCUUGGCCACGCUCAUUCUCGACGAUCAUGUUGUGCAUGAUCACACAAGCGUGCAUGAUGUACCAAAGCAUUUUUUAUCCCAAAAUCUAGCCGGUCCUCUCACAAUAGCAAAUUGGGCUUGCAAAAUCCCAAAUGCUCUCUCCACAUCUUUUCUAGCCGCCGCCUGAGCAUUGUGGAAAUCAAGAUAUUUCUUACCUUCCGGCUUUUUCAACGGCUUCACGAAGGUUUGCCACUUUGGAUAGAUGCCAUCCGCUAGAUAAUAGCCAUAAUUGUACGUACGGCCAUUUUCUACAAACUACACAGGUGGCAACUCACCGUUUGCAAUCUUAUUCAUCAGUGGUGACCGGUUGACAACAUUUAUGUCAUUCAAAGAUCCAGGCAUUCCAAAGAAUGCAUGCCAAAUCCAAGUCUCCUGAUCGGCCACCGCUUCAAGGAUUAUAGUGGAACCCUUUUUUUGGCCAUGGAAUUGCCCAUGCCAUGCCUUUGGACAAUUCUUCCAACUCCAAUGCAUGCAAUCUAUUGAGCCAAGCAUGCCAGGAAAGCCGCGCUCUUUGUUCAUUGACAAUAGCCUUGUGGCGUCUUCAGCAGUGGGAGAUCUCAAAUACUCCUCGCCAAACACUUGCACAAUUCCCACUGCAAAGCGCUUGACACACAUGAUGGCUUGGCUCUCACACAUAGCCAAGUGAUCAUCAACUAGAUCAGCCGAGAUACCGUAUGCCAACAUACGCAAAGCGGCUGUCACCUUCAGAAAGGUGCUAUGCCCGAGCUCUCCGGCGGUAUUCCUCCUUUGCUGGAAAAACCGAUCAUAGCUCGCUAGUUUCUCUGCAAUGCGCCUGAACAAGUCGGUGCUCAUCCUAAACCGGCGACGAAAAUACGACUCCGGGUACGUGGGAUUCUCCAUGAAAUAGUUCUUCAUCAAUCUGUUAUGGGCAUCAAUCCUAUCUCUCCAAAUUUUCUCUCGACCCAUAACCGAACCACCGUGCUUCGGUUUUUUAUUGAUAUGCAUAGCUAGGAUCAUUGCAAGAUCCUCUUCCUCUUCCAUAUCAAAUUCUUCUUCGGAAGAAUCAAACGACGAACUCAUCUACAAUGUUCAAUACUAUACUAUAAAAACUACAAUUCAAAACAUGCACCAAAUUCAUGAAGUUUGAGCAAUACACACCUUGUAGGCGUUUUGUCGAACACCUUGCGGGCGCGGCGCGGCAGCGAGCGCUCGGGCACUGUUCCUCGGACGACGGAGGCGCGCGAGCGCUGGCGGGACUAGGAGGGGAUGGGGCGGAAGCGCGGCGGCGCGGGGAUAGGCCGGGGAAGCACCUGAACGGUCGCCGGGGUGCGCGGGCAGCGGCGGCGGCGCGGCCGGAUGGGGGUGGAAGUGGGAGAGGAAGUGCGAGAGCGAGCGCUCGAGUGUGCCGUGCGCUGUAGCGGGCGCCCGAAAUACAUCGCGGGGGGCAGUGUUUCCGACAGCGCGCCCAACUCGUUAUAGCGCGCACGUGGUUUUUGCGCGCCCGCUGGAGUGACCCGCCGCGUUGCGCGCGUGCUAAAACCGACUAAUUUACAGCGCGAUGCUAGUAUUGCGCGACUGUUGGAGAUGCUCCUAGGAUGCAGUUAAUAGUUGGCAGCCCUGACAGAAGGAAACGGACUGACCCAAACUUAUGUGUCUCAAUGGCUUUGUCUGGGAUCUCCUUGUACAUGUGUGCCAUGGAAUUGUGGUCCAUCUUCUUCUUGGCAUAGACAUCCAAGUCAUCUUCACUCUCCUUUGGGGCAUUUAUAAGUUUUGCCCACUCCUCAACAGUUGACUGGUACCUUGUACCUU